AUUUGCCCCAAAAUCCCCUCCUGGGCUGCUGCUGGGCGCUUUGGAGGGCACAGGCACUGCCGGAUGCUGUUCCCAGACGAGUUUUCCAAAGCGAUGGGAUUGAACAUUUCCUGCUGAGGGGUCUCACCUCCUUCCCCGAGAGAAUUCCCACAGGAAUUAGCCCAGGGCAGAGCUGAGGAGGCUGCAGGCAGGGCUGUGGUGCUGUGGCCGCGCAGAACGGGUGAAAGAAACCCUCAAACGUGAACUCCCAAGACAUUACAGCAACCGCCCCGUCAAUCCCUGAUUUACAGGCUCAGAUUUAUGGCUCCACAAUUAUUAUUCCACUCGCA